rnacentral:rRNA from 1 species
CCUACGGGAGGCUGCAGUGAGGAAUAUUGGUCAAUGGGCGGGAGCCUGAACCAGCCAAGCCGCGUGAGGGAAGAAGGUACAGCGUAUCGUAAACCUCUUUUGUCAGGGAACAAAGGCGGGGACUAGUCCCCGGAUGAGGGUACCUGAAGAACAAGCAUCGGCUAACUCCGUGCCAGCCGCCGCGGUAAGAAGGAGGAUGCGAGCGUUAUCCGGAUUUAUUGGGUUAAAGGGGUGGGAGGGGGGCCUGUUAAGUCGGCGGUAAAAGCCCGGGCUCAACCCCGGCGAGCCGUUGAAACUGGCGUGCUGGAGUUGGAGAGAAGUAGGCGGAAUGCGCGGUGUAGCGGUGAAAUGCUUAGAUAUCGCGCAGAACCCCGAUUGCGAAGGCAGCGUACCGGCUCCACACUGACGCUGAGGCACGAAAGCGUGGGUAUCGAACAGGAUUAGAUACCCCAGUAGUC